rnacentral:rRNA from 1 species
GACGAACGCUGGCGGCGUGCCUAAUACAUGCAGGUAGAACGCUGAAGGAGGAGCUUGCUCUUCUGGAUGAGUUGCGAACGGGUGAGUAACGCGUAGGUAACCUGCCUGGUAGCGGGGGAUAACUAUUGGAAACGAUAGCUAAUACCGCAUAAGAGUAGAUGUUGCAUGACAUUUACUUAAAAGGUGCAAUUGCAUCACUACCAGAUGGACCUGCGUUGUAUUAGCUAGUUGGUGGGGUAACGGCUUACCAAGGCGACGAUACAUAGCCGACCUGAGAGGGUGAUCGGCCACACUGGGACUGAGACACGGCCCAGACUCCUACGGGAGGCAGCAGUAGGGAAUCUUCGGCAAUGGACGGAAGUCUGACCGAGCAACGCCGCGUGAGUGAAGAAGGGUUUCGGAUCGUAAAGCUCUGUUGUAAGAGAAGAACGAGUGUGAGAGUGGAAAGUUCACACUGUGACGGUAUCUUACCAGAAAGGGACGGCUAACUACGUG